CUCCGCUAUGGCAGGUGAGCAGGCCUCCCAAUUGUGAUUUCGUCGCCGUCGCUCCCGAUGCCUCCUUUGCCCACAUCCUGCUGGUGCUCGCCGUGGGCGGCCGACGCAGGAAGAACCGCCGCCGCCUCCGUACGGCCAAAACAAAGGAUCUCCGAGCCGCUCAAGCUCUUAUGUGCCCUCUUCCUGCUGCUUUCGGUCCUAGCCAUCGCCGUCGGCCACUGGAAGAUCCCAGGUCUCGAUUUUGUGAGGGACUGUGUCCAUGAGUUGAAGCCUGUAGAAAGUGAGUUGCAGGUCACCGUUGCUCCCCGGGUUGCCCCUGUCGAGAAGUUGCCGAUUGGACGCUGGGAAAUUGAGGGAGAAGGAAAAGUUCUGGAGCGGCGACCUCGGUUGAGGUCAGAUAGGCGCGGCCGUGCUCUGGUUCGUGAAGAUUGCGCUCGCGUUCCCCGCAUCAGACAUUCACGCUGAGAGAUUGUAGAGGGCUGCUCUCAAAUCCGGGAUCUACAGUUUGUUGUUUGGAGAUGUCUGUGGAAAUUUCUGUAUUCGGCCCACUUAAAUAUGAUCAUCAUAUCUGAUGUACUUCUCAUGGUAUAUGCCACUCCAUACAGGCUAAGGAUUCAUCAAAUGGUGACAACUUGGUGAGAAUUAGCAGGAAUACUAUCAGUUUUGAAAAGGAGAAGAGAGAAGACGGGAGGACCAAGGUGCCUCGUCCUAUACUGAUGUGCUACUGUUGUUACACUAGCGAGUGGCGAUGGGAUCUGCCUCUAUUACUUUACUGGAUCGGCUGACUGACUGGCGAUGGAGGUACCAAAUUUUCUUUCAUUAUACGUGUGGUUCAGUGUAGCAUUUUUUUAUCUAUGACUCUUAAAUUGGCCAGUAGAAAGGCGUCAAAUGCAGACGCUUUAAAGGAAUCUUCCAUGGAAUAAUCUUUUAGUGUUUUAGCACAGCUCACUGGUCCUUGGUUAUCACUAUAGGGAAAUGUUACUUCCUGGAAAGGUAUCUUGCAUUCAUAUGUCAUGAAUCUUCAUAUGGACCAUCUUUGUGACGCUGGCGAAAACAUUCUAUUUUAGUGAGGGAGCUGUUAGACUAUAAACCUGAGAUAUAUGUCAUAUGAUAGAGAAGCAGUUAAUGAAUCUUUAAUCAGCUGAAGGCAUACUUUAUGAACAUUUGGAAGCUCAUUGAAGGGGCCGAGAUAAACUUUUUUGGCUCCUGCAUAAGAAGGGUAUGAUCCAAAAUCAAUUGUUGGACAAGUAUGUCGUGGAUUUUGGGAUCUGAGACGUUCACAUGCUAGAUCUUCUCUAAGGCUCCCAUCCCAUUGAAGAUAAAAAAAUUUCCUUCGGCUUGGCUUUCAUGGCGAAACUCAAGUGUUGAACGCCUUCUCGACGGUAGCUUGCUCCGUGAUCCUAGAUUUGAGGUUUGUGGUAUUCGUGAAGCCAUGAUAACUUAUUGUCUUUCCUCUACUGAUGUAAGAGUAACUUGAUUGGGCAUCAGCUUCAUAUCUUAUACGCUGGUGAUGAAGAUAGAAGUGUCAUCGGUUAAAGAUUCUUGAUAAGUUCAUGUCCCUCAGCCUGUACCACAUUGUAGCUAUUAGUUUCCCAUCACUGUAGCAACAAAACUGAGCUCCCUUUUUUUUUUUUUGCAUUAUGUGGUUUCAUUGUAAUAGAAAUGGUUUUGCUCAUGUAAUUUAGAUGUUUUUAUCACUUUGAAUACAAAGCUGGGUUGUAUUGCUCCUGCUUUUC